rnacentral:rRNA from 1 species
GAUGAACGCUAGCGGCAGGCCUAACACAUGCAAGUCGAGGGCAGCGGAAUGAAGCUUGCUUCAUUUGCCGGCGACCGGCGCACGGGUGCGUAACGCGUAUGUAACCUACCUCAAACAGGGGCAUAACACUGAGAAAUUGGUACUAAUUCCCCCAUAACACCAGAGAGGGCAUCCUCUUUGGUUGAAAGUUCCGGCGGUUUGAGAUGGACAUGCGUUGAUUAGCUAGUUGGUGAGGUAACGGCUCACCAAGGCUACGAUACAUAGGGGGACUGAGAGGUUAACCCCCCACAUUGGUACUGAGACACGGACCAAACUCCUACGGGAGGCAGCAGUGAGGAAUAUUGGUCAAUGGACGCAAGUCUGAACCAGCCAUGCCGCGUGCAGGAUGACGGCUCU